rnacentral:rRNA from 1 species
GCUCAGGAAAAACGCAAGAGACGUGCCUAACACAUGCAAAUUUAAUAGUUAGUGAUUAACUAUAGUGAAUUGGUGAGUAAUAUAUGAAAAUUUAAUUUUAGAUUAGAAGUAUCCCCUAUUAAUUUAGGACUAAUCUCUAAUAAACGCAUUUGUGUUUUAAAAAGUUAAAACUGUCUAAAAAAGAGUUCAUAUCUGAUUAGCUAAUUAAUAAGAUAAUAACUUAUUAAGGCGAAGAUCAGUAGCUGCCCUGAGAGGGGGACCAGCCACAUUGGGAUUGAAAUACAGCCCAAACUCCUACGGGAGGCUGCAGUGAGGAAUCUUCUGCAAUGAGCGCAAGCUUGACAGAGCAUCGUCACGUGAAGGAAGACAGCUAAUUAUUAUAGUUGUAAACUUCUUUUACUUAAAAAUGAAUACUGACAUUUAAGUAAAUAAAGUAUCGGCAAACUCCGUGCCAGCAGCCGCGGUAAAACGGGGGAUACAAGCGUUAUCCAAAAUUACUGGGCGUAAAGCGUAUGUA